GUGUGCUGGUGAAACAUCCCUAAUCAAAGAAUCUGUCAAAGCGAGCCAGUGCGUUCCGCGGGGCUGAGCAUCAUCUCUGCCUUUCAUGUCGUGUGGCUGAAGGGAGAAAAGGCCGAGAAGGAUCUUGAGCAGGUACACUGUGCUCUUUGUUUACGUGUUGUCUUAUCUGUGGGAUACACAGAUGGCCAACAAUUAUUUCUCUGUGUGAGCGUCGCUGCUGGCGGGCCACCAGCUUGUGUGAGAUUGCUGUAAUCCUUUAUUAUUUAUGAUUGUCUGGGAUUUUUGGAUCAAGAUUGAACACAAUCUGUCGAAUAACACCGAGAUGAGCGCCAGGCAGAAGAGUGGAAUGAAAGACAAUCAAAGUGGGAGAGAGUGGAAUGGAAAUGAAGACGCAACGCACACUGUUAGCACUGCUCCUGAAUCCAGCACACUUUAAUCCCAUUAACACUGACUAAAUAAACCAUUUGUUUUAAGAUUGCCACUGGUGCUGUUUAUGCUAAUAGGCCGCUCGCUCUAGGCGAUUUCACAAGACGUUUGGAGGGCACCGGCUAAUAAUUGGAUUUAAUAAGGAAGUCAAUUUCCAUCCUCAUUUGAAAUAUAAAUAAGAAGUUUAGGCUCUCAUAGGAUGUGCUUUCAUUUGUUGAUUUGUCUGUGCUUGCUUUCUCAGGGCUUCUGACUCACGCAUUUUUAACCCUUCUGUGUCCUUAUGUGAGGACAACACAUGGGACAUGAUACACCAUUACACCACCAGGAAGUAAGAAAAUAUAUAUAUAUGUAGGUCGAAAUGUUACACUUUUCUUCUGGGAAGACUUUCUCCAAAAUGCUGUACAUCUGUGGGAAUGCUUGUCCAUACAUCCAGAAGAACAUUUGUGAGCUUUUGAGGGUGAAUGGCAAGAAAUGAGGCAGCACAGUGGAUUGGCACGUCUGCCUUACACUCCGACUUCCUCUCAUGCAUCGAUUGACUGCCGUAUGGGCUCCAGCUCACCUGUGACCAUAAUGAGAACAAGAAGAUAGAAAAGGGAAAGAAAGAAGAGGGAAAAACAGCAACAUCAGUGGAAAAAGGUGCUACUUGUGUCCCGCCCGGCCAAGCUCAUCAUCCCAAUCGAGCGCCAGGUUCUGCUCCGGCGGGCCCAUGAGCACAAGUUCCAGCUGGAGAAGCUCUCUGAUCUGCUGUCAGACUUUUUACUGACAACUUCCUCAGCUCUAUUAUACUUCUUCACUCACUAUUUUCCCCGUGCGCUUCCUCGGCCUCUGUUUUUCAACUCAAUAAUGGACUCAAAUAGCCCUCCAGAGAAGACCGCCAUGCCGGCCCCUGGUGAGGGAUCAUUUUCUCCUAGCAUGUGUUAGUCAGGAGGUACAGGAGCACUUGAGAGGAGGCACACUAUUACACUGUACAGUGGAUCCCCGCUGUAUUAAAGAUAUUUAAGCAGUAGGUUUUUACAGUAUGUAGGCAUGUCCGAAUUUAGAGUUGUGUGCCAUCAGUGUAGUACCACGUUUGUGCACAAUUAACAGCAAUAGGAAGUGGCAGAGGUGGUCACCAAAUACGGUAAGCUCUAGUAAUAGUCGUUGUUCCCACGGAGAAAAUUUAUGCCUGUGAGUAUUAUUGUAUGCUCUGUUUGUCUGUGUUGCUGCUCCAUGUGUGUUAAAUGUUGUUGUUUGAAAUUUUAUAACUUCCGUAAACAUCGAUGCUAAUUUUCAUUCGUCCGUCAACAGCAUUUUACAUUAUAUGUUAGCAUUAAGCUAGCACAGUUUUGCUUGACGAAAUUACACAGUUUGAGUCAACAUUUUGGUGUAUGUGUCAGUUUUUACAGUAAAUUUUAACUGGAAGUUACAUAUAAACAGCGUGAAGCAAGCAUGCGUUGUCUCUAGUUUGGAGAACUGUGCGAAUGAGAGUAUCACAAUGUGAGUUGGAUUGGACCCAAGAGCAGAGGAAGUAGAUUUUGAUUAGUUUAUUGCAGUUUGACACAGGGUAAGGAUAUCCGAGGCGGGGUGGCGGACCGGCAGGACAAGGAGUGAGCAGGAAGCAGGAACUGGAGCAGGUGGAGUGGCUUGGCGGCACGACUGGAGCAGGCAGCGAGGCGAGGAAGGCACGGGAGGAACUCUGGAGACCGGAAACAACACAAUUGGGUGAGUACAGUAGCGCGUUGUAGGAUAGUUACUGUCAUACCACAAAAACCUGGAAGUACUAGAGUCAGCCGGUGAGUCACAGACAGGUGUUAAUACUCUAGCGAAGGCUGUAGAACUUGACAGGCUUUAAAUGCAGGCAGUAAUCAGUGCUGCUUGAAGACAGGUGCACUGCACAGGUGAUGAGGAUUGCUAGGGCGACAGAGGGGGAGAGGGAGAGACAAGGGACACAGCGCCACCCAAGCUCCAAAAGAGGAACUGCAGGGCAUGGAUCAUGACAGAGUCUUAUUUUCGUUCCAUCAAUAUUAUGUUAUACAAUAGUCUUCCAUUUCUUGACAGCAAGUCAGUGAGAAGAGUUGCCGAGGAAUACCUUGAAAAGUAUGAAAUAAUAACUUUUUGUGAAGGGUUCAAACUCUUUUCUUCUUAUAACGCAGAUUUUCGUUAGGAAUCCCACUGGGAUUGCCUGGCACGCCCUGUUGUGGGGGAUUUGUUCCAGACCCAUCCGUGAUGAGUAAUUUGGAAUCCAUGCAGAUGUAACGAGAUUAACAUUCCAAAUAUGCAUCACAUUUGUAGAAAAUGAAAAUUAUUAAGUUUGUUAGGGUUAGGUUUAGGGCUAGGGUUGGGGUUAGGGUGGGUUACGAUCGGUUAGGGUUAAGAUUAGGAUGGGUUACAGUUAGUGGGGAUCAUAUAAACAUCACUACAUCCAGUCUGGAAGCAGUAGGGCGUGCCCUACUGGGAUACAGCAGCCAAUCAUUGCAGCGGUGCAUGUCCUGCAGCCAAUCAUAAUGAAGCGGGCUGUGUCCUUUUCCUGAAUACGAGUAGGAUUCCUAAUAACUCAUCGUGGAUGGGUCUGGAACAAAUCCCCUACAAUAAACAGUAGGGUGUGCCAGGCGAUGUGAGUGACGCAGAAGAGGCCAAACGAAGUACAGGAAGAGAAGAAGGCUGCCGUCUCACUAGGAGGUCACAGGAGGUCGGUUGUAUGUGACGACAAUGUACACCCAGACGCUCGUUGGCAAAUAUUUCACACGCUCCAACCUAAUUGCAUUUUUCCAGCAUGCGCUCGUUACCUUGAUAAUGCGACGAGAGGGUCAUGUGAAGUCAAUCCCAUGCCAUGUGAAUGUAAUCAUGAACCGUGAUGGAAUUUAGGCCCAAAGAAUCUUUUUAAUCACAUCAACCAUUCAGCAAACUGGAUUAAAGUAACCAAAUCAGCUCAAAAUGGGCUUAGUCAACUGGUACCGCUUGAACCUCUGAUGUGUUUAGUGUUGAAUCUUUUUAAGGUGUUUGUGUCCCAAAUUGUGGAAUACGUCCAGUAGGAGAUUAUCAGCAAAGACAGACUGCCUGUGAAGUAGCUGCACUAAAAAAUGAGUGGGUCACCUUCCACUCUGGUGGGCUACAUAGCAGGCAAAUUAGUCUCAACUUUACUGUCUGAUGUUUCUCUUCCUACUACCAAGUUUUAAAUAAAACUUCAUAACACUGAGUUAUCUUGUAGUUGCAACAACGUACAGGUAUAUAAACAUCCAUCCAUCCAUUUCCUUAUCCUAAGUCAGGUCACAGGUGAUAUGAAGCCUAUCCCAGCUGACUUUAGGCGAGAGCUGGGGUACUCCGUGACUGGAUGCCAGCCAAUCGCAGGGCACAACAUUUGCACCUAUGGACAAUUUAAAGUCUUCAAUGACCCUAACGUGCAUGUUAUUUUAAUGUAGGAGGAAGCCAGAGUACCUGGAGAAAACACACAAAACAUGCUGGAGAACAUGCAAACUUCACACAGCAAAACAACAACAACACACCACAAUUAAUCACUGCUAUGCAUUUAACAUAAACUACUAGUGAAAUUGAUGAAAAUGCACCCUUGUCUUGAUCUAGUGGGAUGCGGCAUUCUCUAUCCUACAAAUGCAGUCUCCAUUGGUGAAAUAUGCCUUCCAUCUGUCCAUCCAUUUUCAACAGCGAAUGUCCUCAUUAUGGUCACGGCUGAGCUGGCGUCUAUCUUUGCUGACUCUGAGCGAAAGGUGGGAUACAACCUAGAUUGGUCGCCAGCCAAUCACGGGGCACAUACUGUAUACUCACAUUUAUCUGUGCAUUGUUCACAUUUAAUUUCAGUUUUGAACAACGAAAAAUGCACAUGGUUAGCAAAAAACGCUAUGGAACGUUAAAGAAACAGCUCCAUUGCUGCAUUGAUCCAUUUGUAACGCAUGUGCACGUGUGUGCGUGUGUGUGUUAAACUCGGUCUGCCACCUUCAUCUACGACAUUCUCAUUACGUUAUCAUGUGAACAUGCACACAGGUGCUAGUUGCUCCCACGUUUCUCCCCUCCUCCAUUAAUGGGAUGUGAAAGAUAAAAAUUAAUUAAAUGGAAUUAAAAGUAAUUGAACCGUUUUUGUGACACUGGAUACAUUUGAAUGGCCAUUGUGCUGCUCUUUGUGGAGUGCCAACCUUGACCGCAUGGGGCAGUAUAAGACAGACAGAGACAUCUCAGCUCCUCUUAGCUCAUCCGUACGGCACUUAGAUUAGUCGUUCUUCGCAGAGGAUAAAAAUAUAUGACUGAAUACUGUUGAAUUGUCUGUCUCCAUGUGUUGCUGCACUGUUUGUGUUCAAUCCGUUACUUAAAGGGUAAUAGCACUCCAACAUAGAUGCUAUUUAGCGUUAGCAUUCAACCAACAGACUAAAAGGCUAUGUGGUUGUUUCCAAUACACGAGGUGCAAUUCUCUUUGUUUUAUUUUUAGUUUGACAAUAAACUUCAACAACUUCAAUAAACUUCAGUGGCAAUAAACAGUUUGAAGCCUCAUGUUUUAAAAAAUUGUUCACUAUUUGCCAAAGUGCUGCUUAUUGUGACGUGAGUUGACUCAAGUGUGCACUCACAAGUCAAAGCAAAAAAUCGGCCGAACAACAGCUUAUAAAACUUGUAAGUUGAGUCAUGGCUCAAAGCACUGUUGUAUGUAUAUUUUAAAUCACAUCUCCAAACGUAUGCUCAUUAUGAAGCCAUAUUUGUGCAUUGGUUGUGUCAACGCAAAAUACAAUAAACUUGAGGGCUCCUGCCAAAGAGGGCAUUUCUUUG